GUUAUCCGUACCCCAUACAUAAAUUCGCAAUCCACUAUUUUGAAGUUUAGUUGGAUAUAACGACUUCUCCAUCGUGUUCUCUUCUGUACACUUUAAAAGUGUAAUUACCAGGAGUGGGGUUCGAACCCACGCGGACAUACAUCCAUUGGAUCUUAAGUCCAACGCCUUAACCACUCGGCCAUCCUGGUAGAUAUGAGGAAAUUACUUGAAUUGUAUAUUUGACACAGAUUAAGAAGUUCUACAUUUAUGUACAAAGUACCCAGAUGCAAUGGUGUUUCCUGCUAGGAAUGCAUCCAGGCUUAUGGGAACAGCAAGCUCUGAACCUGAAAAAAGAGGAGAGCUGUGAGAGCUGGUAUGCUACAGCCAUCACCUAGACAGGGCCUCAAAGAAGCCAGCAGUAUGGGAGUUCUCAGCAGAAGCCACUGGUGGUUGGAUUUUACACCAACAAAACAUGGAGGGAGAUACACCAGAACUAUGAAAUUUUCUUACUUACAUUCUAAGUAAUUUUUGUUAAAUAGUGCUAAAUACAAAGCUCUCUUUAUAGAUGAGACACCCUGUCUAAAGAUGAGUUACAAUCCAACACAGUAAAACUGACAUAAUGCAGAUGGUUCAACAAUACAUUUAACUGAGAACUGGAAAGCAUGUAAAACAAGAAUAGAUGACAAACAUCUAGAGAAAUAUAUACAGAAAAUGAAAAUCAGAGUUCAGUGAUAGGGAGAUGUAAGGGCAACAAAACCAAUCAAAAAGCUUUAUAUGCUGCCUGUAGAGAUUAGGAGGUAUGGCAAUGUGGCCAGAGAUUGACAGUAACAUAAUUAAGCACUGACAUGUUCUAGAAUAUGUUAAUGUAUAGUAUAAUUAACAUCAACCUAUUAUGCAUUCCCAUUUUUCUUUAUUUAUUUAUUACUGGAAGCAUUUUGCAUAAAAAAUAGAAUUUUUGCUUCUGAGCAAUUUGCUUCUAUUAACUUUCCCUACCUGAUAAACAUGGAUCAAUGCUCUGAUAUCACAAAAUCUCUGAUGCCACAGCAGUAGAUUACGAUUUGGAUUAAGGAUUAAGACAAAAUGCAUACCAACACCAAAUAAAUUCUAAUGGACAAAGAUCUAGGUUAUGACACAAAAAGAUCUGAAAUGGCAUAAUGCAAGGCUGACAUUUCAGCAAACGUUUACACUAUGCAGCCUAAUAUGUAAAGACACCAUGACACAACUUGGAGAACAGCAAGAUUUAAGAUUGCACUGCACAAAUGAACGUUCUGGAGCAAGAAAGCAUGAGGGCAUAACAUUUAGCAAUAUUUAAGGCUUAGGAUUAAAACAGUGCAGUGUUAUACCACUCCAUCUCUGUACAUUACAUCACUGGAUAAAACGGUGAAACAUAUUGAAAGGAAGCUGAGAAGCAAGAAGGAGAAAGAAAGAGAG